rnacentral:rRNA from 1 species
UACAGGGGGUGCAAACGUUGCUCGGAAUUAUUGGGCGUAAAGCGCGCGUAGGCGGCCACUUAAGUCGGAUGUGAAAGCCCCUGGCUCAACUGGGGAAGUGCACCCGAAACUGAAUGGCUUGAGUGCGAAAGAGGGUCGCGGAAUUCCCGGUGUAGAGGUGAAAUUCGUAGAUAUCGUAAGGAACACCAGUGGCGAAAGCGAGUCUCUGGAUAGCAACUGACGCUGAAGCACGAAGGCCAGGGGAGCAAACGGG